rnacentral:rRNA from 1 species
AGCAGCCGCGGUAAUUCCAGCUCCAAUAGCGUAUAUUAAAGUUGUUGCAGUUAAAAAGCUCGUAGUUGAAUUUCGGGAUUCUACCGUUGGUCGGGCUUUGUCUGUACUGGCGUGUAGAAUUUCUACCUUCUGGGGAACUAUCAUGUUAUUAAUUUAGCGUGGUAGGAAACCAGGACCUUUACCUUGAAAAAAUUAGAGUGUUCAAAGCAGGCUUAUGUCUGAAUACAUUAGCAUGGAAUAAUAAAAUAGGACGGUGGUCCUGUUUUGUUGGUUUCUGAAUCACCGUAAUGAUUAAUAGGGAUAGUUGGGGGCAUUAGUAUUCAAUUGUCAGAGGUGAAAUUCUUGGAUUUAUUGAAGACUAACUACUGCGAAAGCAUUUGCCAAGGAUGUUUUCAUUAAUCAAGAACGAAAGUUAGGGGAUCGAAGACGAUCAGAUACCGUCGUAGUCUUAACCAUAAACUAUGCCGACUAGGGAUCGGACGAUGUUAACUUUUCUUGACUCGUUCGGCGCCUUACG